GCGUUCGUAGGCGGUAUCGUAAGUCUGAUUUGAAAUCCCGGGGCUCAACUCCGGAUCCGGAUCAGAAACUACGAAACUAGAGCAAAUCAGAGGGUAGUGGAAUUCCCGGUGUAGCGGUAAUAUGCGUAGAUAUCGGGAGGAACACCAGUGGCGAAGGCGGCUACCUGGGGUUUUGCUGACGCUGAGGAACGAAAGCUAGGGGAGCGAACGGGAUUAGAUACCCCGGUAGUCCUACGCUGUAAACGAUGAACAUUAGGUGUCGGGGGCUUCGACCCCCUCGGUGCCGCCGCUAACGCAUUAAAUGUUCCGCCUGGGGAGUACGGCCGCAAGGCUAAAACUCAAAGGAAUUGACGGGUCCCCGCACAAGCAGUGGAGCAUGUGGAUUAAUUCGAUGCUACGCGAAGAACCUUACCAGGGCUUGACAUACCGU
rnacentral:rRNA from 1 species